AGUCACCUUUGUCAUAAUGUGUUUUUCAGGUUCCGGUCAAGAAAUCAUGGUAUGUCUCAUAAUGACCAUGAACAGAACUCUGCUCGCAGCCAGGUUCAGGUUAAGACAUCAUGGGGAGUAUAUCCAUCGUAGUAAAUGAGGCACAUAGCAUGUAUGGAGGUAAGUGAUGAUGUGGGCCUGAAUUACAGCACAGAUCAUCUGAUUCUAUAUGCAGGUAAGGUAUUAUGGUCCUAACACUUCUUGUUACUAUGAUUUUGUUACAGGUGUUCAGGUAAGAGAUAGUCCUUACCAAAUCUAGUGACCUUGACUUUAUACGUUUUACAUUUUAGAGAUAAACGUUUAACCCUGUGAGUUUUGAGAGCUGAUUGUAUCCAUAACUGUUAAUCUCCCACCCCACUAGUAACCACAAUGUAUUUGCAGGAAGUCUGCUUCAGACAUGAUGGCCUUCUUCUGAUGAAGGUGUUGACCUGAGUUGAUGCAAACGUCAAGGUGUCCGUUCAAGAGAAGUAGAUGUCUCUUCACAGGGUUUAUCCUUGGAGUUCUGCAAGUUAACGUCAAGACCUCACAGUGACUUUAUCAAUGAUAAUGGAUGUGGGACAUUGUUGGAAUGGAGGUAAGUGAUCCUGUGGGUCUAAACCACAGCACAUACCAUCCAGCUUUCAUACAUGGAGGUAAAUGGUGAGUAUCCUUACACUUCCUGUUACCAUGAAUUUUUUGAAGGUGUGCGGGUAAGAAAUGAUAGAGUCCUUACCAAUUCCAAAGACCCUGUUUCUCUGCUUUCUGUAUUUCAGGAAAUGUUCAUUUUUAACCCUCUGAGUGUUGAGGGACUGCACAUAUACAGGUAUUUAUCAUGAUAUUGCCCGUGAAAGUCCUACCCAUAGGCUAUUUGCAGGUGUCCAAUCAUAGAAUGAUGGUCUUAUCCGAUACUGGUAUUAACCUUGGACUACUGUAAGUAUCCAGUAGAGUUGAUGUGUCUCAUGAUGAUGAAGUGAACACUGUUAUUUGCAGGUUUCCUGGUAGGAAAAAGCUAUGUCCUUCAACACACGCUCGUAAUGUCUUUCCAGCUUCCAGUCACGAAUUGAUGAAUCUAACAUUGCUCAUCAGUGGGGAUGUUCUUAGUGUGCAGGUUAAGUGAUGACGUGGGCCUAGACCAGGCCAUCCGAUCUCCAUCUAGCUGGAUAAGUGAUGAAGGUUUCCCUAACAAUUGUUACCAUUUUUCUUUGCAAGUAUUCAGGUAGGAAAUAGUCCUUACCAAUUCUGGAAACCCUGAGUUUUUUCUUUUUAUAUUUUAGAGAAAAUUUUAUUUUAUUCUUGUGCGUGAUGAGGGGUUGCCAUAUUCAGGUAAUGAUCAUGAUGUUUCUAACCCUAGCCAUAACCAUGGAAAUUUUGCAUGUGUUUCAUAAUGAAAUGUUGUUAUAUCUGAUCAUGAUCUUGACCUUGGUUGGAAUACUGCAAAUAUUUAGGUGGAAUUGAUGUUCUACUAAUGAAGGAAGCGUCUAAGGUAAUUAAUUUGAGGUUUCUUGCUGCAAGCUCUGUCUUUUUACACAUCCGUAAUGUGUUUUUCAGAUUCCUGCCGAAAGAUCAAGAUGAAAUCAAUGGUUAAUGGGGGACAUUUCUGGUAUCCAGAUAGGUUAUGCCGUAUGCCUUCACCACAUCAGACCAUCUGAUAGUCACAUAUCCAGGUUCUGGCAGUCAUGAAAUAACAGUGAACCUAAAAAUCGUCAUUAACAGAACCUUACCAGUAACCAAGUAUCCCUUCAAGAGAGGAAGGUGUCUCUUACUAGGGUUUAACCUCAGAUUUCUGCCGUUAUCCAGGUUCACGUGAAGACCUCCCUAUGAGCCGGUUAGUGGUAGUUAAUGAUGUGUGCAUAGCAGGUAUUGAGGUACCCUGUUCAGGUCUUUGAUAGUACAAAGGUAUGAGAUGAUAUAAUAUUAACUCAUCGAUGUUCUUAUUUUCAACUAUCUAUGUAAUUGUUUUUAAGACUCCUCCUUCCCUUGUUUUUGGCAAGUAGAAGUUAAAUUAAUUUGACCCUGACGGUGGGGGACGGGAAGGGGGAAAACCUAGUUACACAGAGGGAGAGAGGCAAACUAUAAGAGACUCUUAAAUACAGAGAAUGAA